CCUGUUUACCAAAAACAUCACCUCCAGCAUUUCUAGUAUUGGAGGCACUGCCUGCCCGGUGACACUUGUUUAACGGCCGCGGUAUCCUGACCGUGCAAAGGUAGCAUAAUCAUUUGUUCUCUAAAUAGGGACUUGUAUGAAUGGCCACACGAGGGUUUAACUGUCUCUUACUCCCAAUCAGUGAAAUUGACCUUCCCGUGA
rnacentral:rRNA from 1 species